CCACCCUCCACCGUCACCUCAGCAGUGGCUUCAGUUACUGUUAUACGCUUGGCACGAGUCGGCAAGUGGCCAACUUUCGCAUUUCAACUUCAAUAUGUCUCGUGCUUCAGAAAUCAGUGACGGAGUCUGUGAUCAUGUGACUGAAUUCAGAUUGGUGCAUGCAGACUGUACGUGGAGCAGACAGACCGCAGACAGUCAGCGUGUCGAGGGACGACCGUCAGAAGCCAGGAUUUAUGAGUCUUCAUCAGAAGAUGGAGUCACAUGGACAGUGGUCAGUCCUAUCGUCUUCACCUAUCGAGUCAUUCAGUGUGAGAGUCUUCUGGAUGCAAGCAAUGACACCUUACUGUUUGGCCAUAUCUCCAGCCCUACGGAGCUCCAGGCCCUUAAGACCAACAGUAAAGUAAUGAAGCGAUUCAUUGUGAUUGAUGAGACUGUUAAUGAUCUAUACGGCUCCCAGGUGGCAGCAUAUUUCAAAGCGAGAGGGGUGACCUACAAGAUCCUUCCCUUACCCACAACUGAGGAGAACAAGUCCAUGACCCUGGUGACCAGAAUCUUGGAGGAAGUCCAUAAGUUUGGGAUUGACCGCCGUGCGGAGCCCAUUAUCGCUAUCGGUGGCGGUGUUUGUCUGGAUAUCACGGGUCUCGCUGCAUCACUGUAUCGCAGACGUACUCCGUAUAUCCGUGUCCCUACUACUCUGCUGGCUUACAUUGAUGCCAGUGUGGGGGCAAAGACUGGGGUCAAUUUUGCCAAUGGUAAAAAUAAGCUAGGGUCAUACAUCCCACCCGUGGCAGCGUUCCUGGACAGGAGUUUCCUCUGCACUCUGCCACGCCGCCAUGUUUCUAAUGGAAUGGCCGAAAUGCUGAAGAUGGCGCUGAUGAAACACAGAGGACUCUUUGAACUUUUGGAGAAGGAUGGCAGACAUUUGUUGGACUCUAGUUUCCAACCAUCGAGGAGAAUGCCAGAAAAUAUGCAUGCGGAUGCAGCGAGUGUGUCCACGAGACUGGCCAUUGAAACCAUGCUGGAGGAACUUGCUCCAAACCUGUGGGAGGACGACCUGGACCGGCUGGUGGACUUUGGCCAUAUCAUCAGUCCAGAGCUUGAAAUGAAAAUACUUCCUGCGCUUCUGCAUGGAGAGGCGGUGAACAUUGACAUGGCUUUCAUGGUCUAUGUGGCUCACGAAAGGGGCUUUCUGACAGAAGAGGAGAAAAGACGUAUCAUUGUGUGUAUGCGGAGCCUAGAUCUUCCUGUGUGGCAUUCAGACUGCACUCUGGAUCUAGUACUGAAGUCCCUUACUGAACGACUCAAGCACUCAGGAGGAUUUCUGAGAAUGCCUCUACCCACAGCGCUGGGAAAAGCAAGAAUCUUCAAUGACACAGAAGAGAGCAUUGUGUGCCAAGCGUUCAAGAAAUGGUGUGAUGAACAGUGUGAAACCACCAUGAAACUAGAAUAACACACCACAGGAAAUGUUGAGUCUGAUUAUAUUCCUGAACCAAGAAAAACAUCUGUGCUGCAAAAAGAAACACAUCAAAUCAUGAAUGAAAACCUCCAGAAAUUGUGAAAACCACUUUAAAAAUAAAACUUCCAUGAGGGGGGUUUCACAGAG
ensembl:lncRNA